rnacentral:lncRNA from 1 species
UUUUUUUUUUUUUUUUGGGGGGGGGGGCACCAUUUCUAUGUAUUUUUGAGACAAUAAGUUAAUUAAAAUACAAAUAAUUUCUUAGAGCUUUGCACAGUUAAAACUAGGUAGUUUUCCUCCUUAUGAUAUGUUCAGUUCCCCUCAAUACUGAAACCAAGGAUUCCAGGAGAAGUCGGAGACCACACAACUACAGUUUUGAUCUCAGGCACAGGAUUGAGACACUGUCAUGAAACCAUUGAAAAUACUCCAUAGAUGGUAUUACUGUGCCUCUGUCAAAGCCAGAGCACUUCCUUCUCUGAACUUGUCAAUGUGUCACUUAAAAUAGACAUUAGUAUUUGAAGAGACACAAAACUUCAUAACAUUAAUAACAGCUUCAUAAUGUUAAAGAGAAAUAUAUAACCUAAUUGGGGAAUGAAUGUAGACUUUUUUGGCUGCUCUUCAGAUAGGAGUUUUAUUAGAAACACUGUAGUGUUUCUCUUUUCCCUCAGUUUACAGUAAGGUUCUCCAUUUGCCUCUCUCUCUUGAAAUUGAAUCUUUUUAGUUACCAUUUUUUUUAGUGAACGUAGUGGAGGAAAAGGAAGAAGAAACCAAUCCAAACCAGAAUAUGGGUGAUUCAUGGCAAGAACUCCUGAGGCUGUAAAAAACCCUGGUAGGGAUUCUGAGGAGUUGGCAUAUCUCCUUCCACAUCGAUAAAUUUGUCACUGGUGAAGCUGUUUAUUCCUUUGCAGUUGUAUGAUUUAUGCUGGACCUUUUGUACUGCUUAUGUGGACCUAUAGCUCAUCCUCAAACAGCAGAAGAUGAACUCUGACUAAUAGAUCCCAGAGACUGUCCUACAAUUUAUGCAGGAUCAGUGUUUUAAAAGGGUAGUGUGCAUGAUUUAAGUAGGAUUUGAGUAUAUAGCCAUGGUUUGUCCUUUGCUGUCAGCAAAGCCAUCCUAAGUUCAUUUCUUUAAAGAAGCUCCAGGCCAAAUGUCAGGAAAAAUUAAAUCAAGCAGUGAUGUAGUCCCAUAGGGGAAAUGUAUUUCAAUUGUGAGGUAUUCAUGGGUAUAAUAUGUCAUCUUGUAGUCUGUGACUGUUGGGUGCACUUAGAGGCAAUGUGGCUUGGUAAUUGCUACUUGUUAAGAAAUUUGGGUAUGAUAAAAAAUGACCUGCCUUGUACAGAGACAGUUUUGUUAAUUUUAUUUAUGAGACUUUCAUCAAAAUUGGAAUGAUGUGUGUAUGUAGCAGAAAAUCCUCUUUGUAACAGUAUCUUUUAUUAAAGAACAUAGUUUUUGUCUUCCAGCAGGGAGAUACCAUAAUAUUUUAGAGCUUUGGUUUUUGCAGUCUGAGAAACAAUUUGGACACAAGCUCCUUAAUUUGCUCAACCAACAAUCUGAUACACAAUUUGCCCUUCCUGAGGGCAAGUGUAAGCAAAUUUUCCACCCUCCCAACAGAUGUGGGACAAAGCUAGGCUUGUUGGAUCAGCCUGAAUCCAAACCUGGAAAGAAUUAACUCUAUCUUCUGUAGUUUUGUUUUUGUAGAGAGUUCUUCUUUUCACUGGCAUAUUCUAAAUAAAUCAAGUCAGAACCUACAGUUCAGAUUAUUUUUUAUGUAGAUACCUGACCCAGGAGCAAGAAUGAGGAGAACAUAGUUGGAAGCCUGGUGAGCUGAGAUGGAGCCACAAGCUGCCUGUCCAUGAGACACUUCCCUGCCCAUGCAGCUGUAUUAGCUUAUUCCCAGCUUUUUUGGGGGCACAGGGGCUUGCAGUGAUUUUCUAGAUCAUCUUUAAUUGCUGAUAGGUAACUCUGUGGUAUCAGUAACCAUAAGCACUUAUGUGUAGCACUGAAGCAUCUAUGUCAUUCUUAGCCCUGCUAUUUGAUUACUGUGAAGCAUUGCAUGUGAAGCACACAUAUAAUUUAGAAUCUUUUCAGAUGCAAAUGGAUCUUUAAAUCAGAAGAAGCUGAUGCACGUUUGAUAGCUGCAUCUUUCUAGAAUGGAAAGUUUUAUUACCUUUUAGAUCCUUACAGAACAAUAGAACUGAUCUCUCAGCUGGACAAAAUCAUUGUAUUGCUUUGGGCUUUAGCCACUCUCUGACAUUAAUGAUCUAGCCCAGUAUUGCUCCUAUAUCUCAUGAAAAGGGUGAUGAAGCCAUAUUUCUCAGGUUUAUUUUAAGGAUGUGAGAAAUGGAAGAAGCUAGAUUCUGCUUCAGCUUGUGUCACCCUAAGUCCAGAAGAGGCGAAUUGAAGACCCAAAGUAAUUUUAAUCAGAGCACUUGUGUUAUUCCACAGUAACACUUUCCUAGCCAGCAGCCUAAAACCAGUGACAGAAAGUGAAUGAAUCACAAGAAUUUCUGAAUACUUUCAUUGUGCUCUAACACAAUGCAUGAGAUGUUCUGGGUAAGGAAAUAGGUUGCACAGAGUUUUGAAUAGAAAAAACUCUCAUGUGCUUAACCCUUUAGAGUCUGCUGCAGGCAGGAAAAUCAAGGGCUGUCAUCAGUUUCAUCUGGCCCCUGCAUGUCUGGCAAGCCAGUCCUUUUGAGGAGCAUUUUAUUCAUGGCUUAUUUGAAAAAUAGGUAUUUUCACCUCAGAUUCAGCUUUAUUGUAUUUCUUUUUGGUGUGGAUUUGUUGAAUUAAAAAACCCAUGUAAAGGAAGACAAAGUUUUUGUUGCAUUCUUUAGUAUUCAUGUGUCUUAGAAGAAUAAUGAAUUACUUGAGUUCUCUUAGAACUAAAGUACUUCAGGAUACAGGUAACCAAUGCAUCUUCAUUGGGAAGGAACUUGGUUCACAGAUCAAAGUGCAUCUUUUCCAUAAUAGUGAGCUAAAGAUUUUAAUCAAGCAGCCCAUAUGACCAUAAGGAGAUGAUGUCUUUCCCUGAGGAGUCAAGGCUGAUUGUGAAUUCAUCGAAUCUUUCUAGAGAGCAUUUCAUUACUGUGGCUUUCCUUUGUUGUAUUGCUUGGAUUUAGGACUUUUUCUCAGGUCUCUUCAGUGUCCAGCCUCAGUGAUGCUGUGCGACCCACAGACAUCUGUUUAUCUGUUUAGAUUUCUAAUCAAGAUGUUACAUAAACCAUCGAUUACAGGAUGGAAACAUGUUUGUUGAUUACUUUCUAAUAUAAAUGCUUUUUAAACAUUGGUACUGUCUGUUUAGACCAAUACCUAACGUUCACAGCUCUUGGGUUGAGUAAGCAUUCAUUACCAUCCUUUCUUCCCAAGAGUCUCCUUUGUUCUGUUUCCUAGCAGUUUUCUUGCCUUUGAUAUUGCUGCUUGCAGUAUUUUUCUCCUUUGUUUUGUCUCCUUUCCAGUUAUUUAUUUACUGGAACCAAUAUCACUAAUUUUUUUCCUAGAUAAUUGAUUUAUUCAACUUUUUUCCUAUUUCCCUAUUUUUAUUUUUUUUUAAUACAUUCUUCUUGUUUUGUUUAUGGAGAUGUUCUUGCCUCCAUCUUAAUUAUAUUUUAUACAGGUAAUUAAAAUAUAUUUCUCCCUUCUACCUUCAUUAUAUUGGACAUGAGAUUGUGCUCAUAGUAGGUGUUACCUCUUGUACAGUGGAUCAGCAACACCUGCAGGUAUUUCCUUCCUUUUUAGAGACUCAUUCAUUGCCUACUGACCCUGGCCAAGGCUCUUGAGAGAUGGAAGCUCCCACUGAAACUAUGGGAAAAGGUUUGUUAAGAGGCAAAGAAGGAGUAUUCUCUAAUUGGUAAAUGAAGCAAUCUUUGCUGAAGAAGAUGGAAGACAGUACAGUUGUUAAUAAUUUUGAUUCCUAACUGUUCUCUUUUGACAGAACAAUUUAUGUAGAUGUUAGCAAAUGAUGUUCUAGUGAGGAGAGCACAGCCCAGAGCCCACCUGUGCUGCAGAUGGCAGUAGGACUGAACCAGCUCCUCUCCCAUCAGGGAGACUGAGCUGUCCAGGCCUGCAGCUUUCUACUUCUUUGCCUUUAACCUUUGGAAAGUGUGGUUAAAUUUUUCAGACUCAUUUAUGUAGUUUGGUGCAUAAUGAUAGAUGUGCUUUUUUACAGAAGCCACUUGUAGCACAAUGGUUAUGUUACACUGUUAUUUCUAAAGACUUCAGGGAUUCUUUUCAGGCCAUAUGACUCACAACUUUGAAGUCACUGAGCAAAGGGUCAAGCCCUUCCUCACUCAAUAGAUGCUUUCAGCUCCAAGUGCUACUAGUACAUUCAGGGCUAAAACUCUUGUUAUUGAAACAGCUGUAGCUUCAAAAUGUCGUGAAGCUGCACUAACGCUUCACUUCCUGCAGUGAAUCAUUUUACUUAUGAAAGUAUAAAAGCCAGGGACAUUUAAUAAAAAAAAAGACAGAAAUAGAAAGAAAUAAACCUUCUGUGCUCUGAAACAGAUAUUUUUUUUUUUUCCCCCCAUUGGAUAAGUUUGUCCUAUCACAGCAGUAAAAUGUAAUGAUAUGGAAUAAUUAUAUGCUCCUAAGCCUUUCCAAUUGAUCUACUGUUGUGAAAAUAUAUUCCGUAAAUUCACCUAAGUGACUUUGGACAGCAACACACAAGGACAUUACGAAUAAAAGAAACACUAAUUUGGCUGAUACAAUGGAGUAUUGUGACCACAGGAACAUCAUUGUUAACCUCUGUUCUAGAUUAGAGUAGGUUUGUUGUCAGAAAAAUCUGUGUGUGGUUCAGAAGGUGACCUCAGUAAUUGCUUGUGGGCUUCCAUAUUUAUUCCCUCCCUCUACUUUCUGUUCUUAAAAUUUCAUUUUGAUUGGCAAACCAAGCUCACUUAUUCCUGUUACUGAUAGGAGGAAAGUGAUUUUAUUAAUUAAGAAAUUAAUUAAUUAAAUCAAGCAUUUAUUUAUGCUUUUGGCAAUUUUCCUGGGUGAGAUAACAGGAAAAAUAAAGCCUAGAUUUCUUCUCCUGUUUGGCUUUCUGAUACUGCUCAUAUUAAAAGUACAAUUUAGUUUUAAAAAUACUCAGAUUUAAGGGAGGAGAUGAAUAGAAGAACAUACCAUUGUUAGUGAUUUGCAUCUAUCGGUAACUGCAUUUUGAAGCAGCACUGCAUUAGCACUGUGAACAAUGAAAACACAAAAAUGCAAUGUCAUAGAUAAGAAGUAUACUCAUUACUAUUCCCCUGUUUUCCUGGAAGAAUUCAUCUUCUGCAUUUGUCAGCCAUACUUUAAAAUAUGAGGCAAAAAUUGUUUAAAUGUUUGUCAAAUGGGGAUGUAGGAGUUAGGAAAUGCUGUAAUGAGAAGUUAUUUCAAUACAUGAGAUAAUAUAUAUGCUUUGUAAUGUACACAGUUUGAUAUUAUUAAGACAUUACUGCAGAAUUAACAGAUUUCAAAGGACCCUAUGUAGCAGCCAAUGAAUAUGAUAUAUUGCAAAUAAGGUCAUCUUGUUAUACAGCUAGAGGUAAUAAAUUUAUAGUGCUCAUGAUUGUUUUUCUGUAUACAUUUAUCCUUUGGUGGCAUUUGAAUGUUUUUCUUUGUGUCUUAAAACAGCAGAAGAACUUACAGUCAAACAUCAGAAGCAAUGAAAAUAGAAGGAAAAUUAAGAAAAGAAAGGAGGCAAAGUGCAUUUCAGAGGCUAAGUAAUAGAGGAGAAUAUGCUUUCAAAAAUAUAUGUUUAUAUAUUUUAAUUUCAAGAGUAUAAUUUUAAUGAGAGACUGUAACUUGCCCAGAUACAGAGCUGUUUUAACAAAGAGAAAAGCAAUCCUUUCAUGCUUUGAGUUUUUGUUCUAUUAAAAGUUUGAAAAUUGCAAGAGAAAGUUUUACAUUUGGUGGGUUUAUAAUUAAGUAUUUGAAUUUUAAAUGCCAUUUUCAUCUGUCUGCCUCCUCCUUUUUGAUUUUACUGCAAGAAAUUAAAGGAUCUGAGAAAAGAAGAAAAAAACCCAACUACAGAAAAAAGAAAAAAA